GAUGAACGCUGGCGGCGUGCCUAAUACAUGCAAGUCGAGCGAACAGACGAGGAGCUUGCUCCUCUGACGUUAGCGGCGGACGGGUGAUUAACACGUGGAUAACCUACCUAUAAGACUGGGAUAACUUCGGGAAACCGGAGCUAAUACCGGAUAAUAUAUUGAACCGCAUGGUUCAAUAGUGAAAGAAGGUUUUGCUGUCACUUAUAGAUGGAUCCGCGCCGCAUUAGCUAGUUGGUAAGGUAACGGCUUACCAAGGCGACGAUGCGUAGCCGACCUGAGAGGGUGAUCGGCCACACUGGAACUGAGACACGGUCCAGACUCCUACGGGAGGCAGCAGUAGGGAAUCUUCCGCGAUGGGCGAAAGCCUGACAGAGCAACGCCGCGUGAGUGAUGAAGGUCUUCGGAUCGUAAAACUCUGUAAGUAGGGAGGAACAAAUGUGUAAGUAACUAUGCACGUCUUGACGGUACCUAAACAAAAAGCCACGGCUAACUACGUG
rnacentral:rRNA from 1 species